rnacentral:lncRNA from 1 species
AAACUUGUGGCUCAAGAAACCCUAAUUUAGGCAUCCCUUUAUCAUUGACCUUGCUUCACUUUUUAUCAUCCAAUCACCCCACCAUUCAUUCAACAUUAAUUCAUUUCCAUUACAAUCAAAAUCCAUAAUUUAAACAUCCAUUCAAUCAAUGUUACAAGUACUUGGUUUGGUCAUGGUUUUUCAACUUUCAAUGCAUUUGAGCCACCCAUGAACUUGACCUAAAAUUAUCCCAUAAAUAUACAAAUCUCAUUUACCAUCAUGGUAUGAUC